rnacentral:tRNA from 1 species
GGGCCUGUACCCCAGCGGCUAGAGGGAGCGGUUUUAGGGACCGCGUGUCGUGGGUUCGAAUCCCACCAGGCUCA